AUUGAAACACCAGUUCCCAUAUGAUCCCCAAGGAUAAGCAACAUUGAGCCUGGUCAUUACCUAGAUGGGUAACCACUUGGGAAUACCAUGUGCUAU